rnacentral:rRNA from 1 species
AGGAUAAACGCUGGCGGCGUGCAUGAGACAUGCAAGUCGAACGGACACACGGGGCUUGCUCUGUGUGUUAGUGGCGGACGGCUGAGUAACGCGUAGGUGACCUGCCCCGAAGUGGGGAAUAACUGCCCGAAAGGGUGGCUAAUACCGCAUGUGGUGAUGCGUUCAUUCGCAUCAGUAAAGCCGCAAGGCGCUUCGGGAGGGGCCUGCGUCCGAUUAGCUCGUUGGUGGGGUAACGGCUCACCAAGGCGACGAUCGGUAGGUGGUCUGAGAGGACGAUCACCCAGACUGGGACUGAGACACGGCCCAGACUCCUACGGGAGGCAGCAGUCGGAAUUUGCGCAAUGGACGAAAGUCUGACGCAGCAACGCCGCGUGACGGGAU